rnacentral:rRNA from 1 species
AGAGUUUGAUCAUGGCUCAGGAUGAACGCUAGCUACAGGCUUAACACAUGCAAGUCGAGGGGAAACGACAUCGAAAGCUUGCUUUUGAUGGGCGUCGACCGGCGCACGGGUGAGUAACGCGUAUCCAACCUGCCCAUCACUUGGGGAUAACCUUGCGAAAGUAAGACUAAUACCCAAUGAUAUCUCUAGAAGGCAUCUGAAAGAGAUUAAAGAUUUAUCGGUGAUGGGAUGGGGAUGCGUCUGAUUAGCUUGGUUGGCGGGGUAACGGCCCACAAAGCAACGAUCAGUAGGGGUUCUGAGAGGAAGGUCCCCCANAUUGGAACUGAGACACCGGUCCAAACUCCUACGGGAGCA